rnacentral:tRNA from 1 species
UAGCUCAAUGGUAGAGUAUGUGCUUAGCAUGCACGAGAUCCUGGGUUCAAUCCCCAG